rnacentral:rRNA from 1 species
AGGACUAACGCUGGCGGCGUGCCUAACACAUGCAAGUCGAACGAGGGGUAGCAAUACCCCUAGUGGCAGACGGGUGAGUAACACGUAGUCAACCUACCUCUUAAUGGGGGAUAACUAGCCGAAAGGUUAGCUAAUACCGCAUACGAUCGUCGAGUGGCAUCACACGACGAUGAAAGGAGCAAUCCGUUGAGAGAGGGGACUGCGUCCCAUUAGUUAGUUGGUGGGGUAAUGGCCUACCAAGACUCCGAUGGGUAGCUGGCUUGAGAGAGCGACCAGCCACACUGGAACUGAGACACGGUCCAGACUCCUACGGGAGGCAGCAGUGAGGAAUUUUCCGCAAUGGGGGAAACCCUGACGGAGCGACGCCGCGUGUGGGAAGAAGGCCUUCGGGUCGUAAACCACUGUCGAGGGGGACGAUAUUGACGGUACCCCGUGGACGGAAGCCCCGGCUAACCUACGCGCCAGCACGCCGC